rnacentral:rRNA from 1 species
UACGAACCGUGCGAACGUUGUUCGGAAUCACUGGGCUUAAAGGGCGCGUAGGCGGGCCACCACGUCUGGGGUGAAAGCCCCCGGCUCAACCGGGGAAUUGCCUGAGAUACUGGUGGUCUGGAGGGAGGUAGGGGCAGCGGGAACUUCCGGUGGAGCGGUGAAAUGCGUUGAUAUCGGAAGGAACGCCGGUGGCGAAAGCGCGCUGCUGGACCUCUUCUGACGCUGAGGCGCGAAAGCUAGGGUAGCGAACGGG